CGAGUCCGCCAGGCAGUCGCGCCGGGAUCGUCCCGUCGAGGAAAGUCCGAGCUCCGCAGAGCAGGGUGCCGGGUAACGCCCGGUCGGGGUGACCCGAAGGAGAGUGCCACAGAAAAGACACAGCCGCCGCGAGCGACGGCGAAGGUGAAAUGGUGCGGGUAAGAGCCCACCAGCAGCCGGGAGACCGGCUGGCUCGGUAAACCCCACCCGGAGCAAGACCGAAUAGGAGGACGAUACGGCU
rnacentral:RNase_P_RNA from 1 species